rnacentral:rRNA from 1 species
GAUGAACGCUGGCUACAGGCUUAACACAUGCAAGUCGAGGGGAAACGACGGGGAAGCUUGCUUCCCCGGGCGUCGACCGGCGCACGGGUGAGUAACGCGUAUCCAACCUGCCUCUGACUGAGGGAUAACCCGUCGAAAGUCGGCCUAAUACCUCAUGGCAUCGUCUGCGGGCAUCCAACGACGAUUAAAGAUUUCAUCGGUCAGGGAUGGGGAUGCGUCUGAUUAGCUAGUUGGCGGGGUAACGGCCCACCAAGGCGACGAUCAGUAGGGGUUCUGAGAGGAAGGUCCCCCACAUUGGAACUGAGACACGGUCCAAACUCCUACGGGAGGCAGCAGUGAGGAAUAGUGGUCAAUGGGCGAGAGCCUGAACCAGCCAAGUAGCGUGCAGGAUGACGGCCCUAUGGGUUGUAAACUGCUUUUAUGCGGGGAUAAAGUGAGGGACGUGUCCUUCAUUGCAGGUACCGCAUGAAUAAGAACCGGCUAAUUCCGUG